rnacentral:rRNA from 1 species
GACGAACGCUGGCGGCGUGCUUAACACAUGCAAGUCGAACGGAGUGGCGAACGGGUGAGUAACACGUGGGUGAGCUGCCCUGCACUUCGGGAUAAGCCCGGGAAACUGGGUUUAAUACCGGAUAGUGUGGGAUGGGCUCGCGGCCUAUCAGCUUGUUGGUGGGGUAAUGGCCUACCAAGGCGGCGACGGGUAGCCGGCCUGGGAGGGUAGACGGCCACAUUAGGCCUGCGGCACGGCCCAGUCUCCUACGUGGGGCAGCGGUGGGGAAUAUUGCGCAAUGGGCGGAAGCCUAAGGCAGCGACGCCGGGUGGGGGAUGACGGCCUUCGGGUUGUAAACUCCUUUCACCAUCGACGCGGUAGAUGGAGAAGAAGCACCGGCUAACUACGUGCCAGCAGCCGCGGUAAUUC